UACGGGGGAGCAAGCGUUGUUCGGAUUUACUGGGCGUAAAGGGCGCGUAGGCGGCCACCGCAAGUCGACUGUGAAAUCUCCGGGCUUAACCCCGGAAAGGUCAGCCGAUACUGCGGGCUAGGGUGCAGAAGGGGCAACUGGAAUUCUCGGUGUAGCGGUGAAAUGCGUAGAUAUCGAGAGGAACACCUGCGGCGAAGGCGGGUUGCUGGGCUGACACUGACGCUGAGGCGCGAAAGCCAGGGAGCGAACGGG
rnacentral:rRNA from 1 species